rnacentral:rRNA from 1 species
UGCCAGACUCCUACGGGAGGCAGCAGUGAGGAAUAUUGGUCAAUGGGCGGGAGCCUGAACCAGCCAAGUCGCGUGAGGGAAGACGGUCCUACGGAUUGUAAACCUCUUUUGCCGGGGAGCAACGGGGUCCUUGCGAGGGCCCAAUGAGAGUACCCGGAGAAAAAGCAUCGGCUAACUACGUGCCAGCAGCCGCGGUCAUACGUAGGAUCCGAGCAUUAUCCGGAGUGACUGGGUGUAAAGAGUUGCGUAGGUGGCAUAAUAAGUAGCUAGUGAAAUCUGGUGGCUCAACCAUUCAGACUAUUAGCUAAACUGUUAAGCUCGAGACCGUUAGGGGUAACUGGAAUUUCUAGUGUAGGAGUGAAAUCCGUAGAUAUUAGAAGGAACACCGAUAGCGUAGGCAGGUUACUGGGACGGUUCUGACACUAAGGCACGAAAGCGUAGGGAGCAAACGGGAUUAGAUACCCUUGUAUA